UUGUGCCAUCGAAAUCGAUGUCAGGGAGGUGAUUCGAGCAGGACGAAGAAGUUCUUAGCUAGUCCGAUGGCUUUCGAGGGGACACACUAAGAACGGCUAGUGAGGUUGUUAGUGAAAGCGAGUCCUGGCUAAUCCCAUUAAAACUAGUCCAGCCAGGAAACAAGCAUGGGACUGGAGUAAUCUUUAGUCUAGUUCAGUCCAAUGAACUUUAGUGAGGGGAAACAAACACCCCCUAAGAGAAUUCAAAAUUUUGGGUAGUCUUUUUAAAAUUCAUUUAAAUUUAUGUGUAGUCACUUAAGAUUUUAAUUGACAUUUUUAAAGUUCAUGCAAAUUUAUGUGUAUUAAAAAACUUAAAAAUUUUGUGGAAUUUCAUUAGGUUAAGAAUUUUGGUGGAUUACAGUGGAUUUGAAGAUAAUAAGUAUGCAUACCAAAGGCUCUAAACACUGCAUUUAGGAAUGAGCACUUUACUUUAGCCUAAAGUAGGGGGAGCAGUGGCACUGUGCAAUUUUGGAUACAUUUCAUUUUAUUUACGAGCUUGCCACCGGGCUGAUUUCAGCCCAAAUUUCGCUUUAUUUACAAGAUUGACACUGGGCGUAAGAACGGGUUUUCAGUCUUUUGGUUGGAUAUGGGCUUUUGACUCGGGGAGGGAGAGGGAUGAGGGACAGAAGGGUUGACGGGUUGGAUGGAGAGGUUCGCCGGGAUCUAGUUGAGAGGAUUUUCGGCAGGGAGGAUUUUCAUAUUAAAUCCAUGUUAGCCUGACUGCUGCCGCCUUGGAACCAUCGCUCUUUGUCUUCUCCAUUCUCUUGGACCAAGCAUGAAAUCCCAAGCACGCACUAUAUCACCACAAAGCAAGCAAGCUGAAAAGCAAUCCAACAAAUCCUUUUUCCAGAAGCACUUAACAGAACCUUUCUAUGGGUUAAUUGUUGUUUCAAUUAUACCAGAUUGAAAACGAGUAUGGAACCAUUGAUCAAGCAUACGGUGCUGUUGCCCAAACCUAUAUUAAGUGGGCAGCAAGCAUGACCGUUGUCUUUAAAUACAGGGCUGCCCUGGGUCAUGUGGCAACAAAACGAUGCUCCUGCAUCUGUAGUGAGGCUUUUAGUCGGUUUUCAUUUGCAUUGUAUUGACCUUGACCUUUUUGAUCAAAGUCCAAUAGCAAUAGGAAUUUGUGGGUUUACCUCUGAAUUUAGUCCUUUUCUUAAGAGGCGUCCGGCCCGUAACACACAGCAGCAGCGAUGGGGGAGGAGAAGCGGCGCCAUUUCGGUGAUCAAUCUGAAGAGGAAGAGGUAAUAAAGGUGGUCCAACCAGUACCUGAUAAAAUGUCCUUAUAUAUAUGCUUUUGUUGAUUUCUGCUGCGAUAAUGGGGGAAAACUUCCCGGAUGGAGAAAAUGUAUUGGACAUUGAAGAUUGUGAAUUCUUGUUUUUGGUUUUCUCCAUAUGAUUUUGUACUACAAAAUUUGUAUACGAUUUUUGCCGUCUCUUGCAAUUUCAUUAUGAUUACGUACUA